GGGGAUAACUGGUUUUGACAGCAGGUAGAAUGGAUGCGUAAGCAUGCCGAGUAUGAGUACCACUCGUUAAUAGGACUCAGUCAAUUUUAACUGGCAACAAUAGUGUAGCUCUCGCUGCCUAACCGAAGUAUAGUAGGUUAGCUUAAUUUCGGCACUAGGUGCUGAAUCGAGACAUCGCUCCAAGCCCGGCCUCGCGGCUGAAUGGAUAUAGCGGUGCGGGAAUUGCGAGGAUAGUUUUCAUAGGCUGCGAUAUGGAAAUGACAACUAAGCAGAUAAGCUGUGUGUAGGUGGCUUGGGUUUUGCAUGCGGUCGAAAAUGAAGGCCAAGAUAAGCAUGUAGAAAGCGUAUGUGUUCCUUGUUUGGACGCGGGUUCGAAUCCCGCUAUCUCCACUU
rnacentral:tmRNA from 1 species